AAACAUUGUAAGACUCCAACCAUCUGCCUCCUGUGUCUGCAUUUGGGUCUCGCCUUAUGCCUUUAUAGACUUGGACCUGCUCCAUCAAGCUGUCUCCCUGCAGGGAGCCACCAUUGGGAGAGAUCAGGAGUUACUACAGGUCCUUUUGGAAGGGCUCAGUUCCUUGAAGGGCUCAGUUCCACGACCAUGGGUAAAGGCUAUUAUGGAGCAAAUCAGGGAGUUAGCUCAUCAACUGUCUGCCACCUCUGAAAAACCCCAAUCGCCCUGUAAUUUUUUUCCCUAUCUGUAGCGAGUUUGUACAGCCUAUCCGACUCCCCGUGAACCCUGCUUACCUCCUCCAGAGCGACGUUUGGGGAAUCCUGGAACCUGCUGGGGUUUUCUUGGUCAGUGAUCGCUUAUUUUUGAGCUGCAGCCAUCUUCGUUUUCUUCAGACCGAUCAAAGAUAGCGUAUAUAAUUACGCUAAUGUCGGGAAGGGUGCUCUCCUGGGCUACGGCAGUUUUGGAACAACAAUCUGCCAUUUGCAGUUAUUUGGAGGAAUUCAUGGCAGAGGUGAGACGUUUUUUAAGUCUCUGGUAUCCGGGGGAAAAGCAGCCAGCAAACUGCUUGACUUACGUCACAACUCCCGUAGUGUGGCAGACUACGCGGUGGACUUUCUCACGUUGCCUGCAGAGAGUACCUGGAAUCCGGAGUCUCUUUUCCAUACUUUUCUGCACGGAUUAUCUGAGGAGGUAAAUGAUAAACUAGCUGCUCGGGAACUGCCGAUGGACCUUGACUCUCUUAUCACCUUAACCAUUAACAUUGAUGGACGCCUAAGGGAACGCAAGAGUGAGAGGAGGUCUAGUCUCAGGCACACGCGUGCACCCGAUAUGGUGCAUUCACCUCCUAUCGAAUCCGUAAGUUUCCAAAGGCAGCUCUUCCGAGAGGAGUCAAAGCCACCCGAGCUCUCUUGUGAAUCUAUGACGGGUUAGUUGGAUACUCCUGAGCUUAUGCCGUUGGGAAGAGCUAGGCUAUCAGUUUGGUAGUGCUCACGGAGGAUGAAUAAUAACUGUUGUCUGUACUGUGGAGGGGCAGGACAUUUUAUAGCUACCUGCCCUAUUAGGAAACCCUUGUCUCUAGUGGGUACCAGUACUAUGGCCCAUCCCUUCCCCCCAGGUUAUCGGUGGCCAGCCAGUGUAUACGGUCAGACGCCUCCUGAAGGUUUGAC
ensembl:lncRNA